AUGAGCAUCGGCCUCCUGUGCUGUGCGGCCUUUUGCCUCCUGUGGGCAGGGUUGGUGAAUGCUGGUGUCACCCAGUCCCCCAAAUCCCAGAUCCUGGUGACAGGACAGAACGUGACACUGAAAUGUGCCCAGAAUAUGAACCAUAACAGAAUGUACUGGUAUCGACAAGAUCCUGGGCUGGGACUGAGGCUGAUCUAUUACUCUGUUGGUAUUAAGGUCAUUGACAAAGGAGAAGUCUCUGAUGGCUACAGUGUGUCUAGAUCAGAGGUAGGGUCCUUCCCCCUCACUCUGGACUCUGCCACCCCCUCCCAGACAUCUGUGUACUUCUGUGCCAGCAGUGAUGCACAGCGCUGCACAGCUGCCUCUUCUCUGCACAGAAAGUCAGGGCAGGCUCUGCUCCCCAGAGCUCAGUGA